rnacentral:rRNA from 1 species
UGAGGAAUAUUGGACAAUGGUCGGAAGACUGAUCCAGCCAUGCCGCGUGCAGGAUGAAGGUCUUAUGGAUUGUAAACUGCUUUUGCAGGGGAAGAAUAAGGACUACGCGUAGUUUGAUGACGGUACUCUGUGAAUAAGCAUCGGCUAACUCCGUGCCAGCAGCCGCGGUAAUACGGAGGAUGCGAGCGUUAUCCGGAAUCAUUGGGUUUAAAGGGUCUGUAGGCGGGCUGGUAAGUCAGAGGUGAAAGCGCUUAGCUCAACUAAGCAACUGCCUUUGAAACUGCUGGUCUUGAAUGGUUGUGAAGUAGUUGGAAUGUGUAGUGUAGCGGUGAAAUGCUUAGAUAUUACACAGAACACCGAUAGCGAAGGCAUAUUACUAACAAUUAAUUGACGCUGAUGGACGAAAGCGUGGGGAGCGAACAGGAUUAGAUACCCUGGUAGUCCACGCUGUAAACGAUGGAUACUAGCUGUUUGGACGCAAGUUUGAGUGGCUAAGCGAAAGUGAUAAGUAUCCCACCUGGGGAGUACGCACGCAAGUGUG